UGUAAACCUGAAAUAGAAUAUUAUUUUCUGCUCCAGCAUCUCCUUUAACCUGGAAAGAGAAUAUUUGUACUUUGGGGGAUUUGGACCCCCUAGCUGUUUCUGCUGUUUCUGCUAUUUCUGCUGUUUCAGCUAUGAAAAGAGAAAUUAAAAAUGUACUCUUCUGAAUUUUUCUCAUAGAAAUGAACGGAUAAUGCAUGCUGUUGUAUGGAGGAAUAAGUGUAGAAAUGAAAAGGUUAGGUAUGUGGACUAUUUUUUUUAACAUUUAGAAUAGCCUAGAGAUCAGAAAUUAGGUCAUUAACAUAACAUGACUCCUUUAGCUUUUCUAAUUAAGAUCAUAGGCAUAUGUUUGUUUUCUUAGCAGUAUAUACUUGUGGUCUUAUCAGCACAGGCAUACAGAUUUAUGCUCCUGUUAGACUUGGUAUGCUCAGUUUAGAAAAUAAUCAGUACUGCACCUUAUGGUCAUACUCAGAUGGAAUUUAAAUUUAUUUAUGAGGGAGUAACUGUUGAAUUAAUUUGGUGUAAAGUUGUGUGUUUAUUUUUAAAUGAGGACAUAUAAAAAUUAUUUGGGCACAUUGUUAUUCUUAUGUGUAGAGACUGAUGCACAUGGCUCCAGAGAAUAUUGAGAGUGAGUAAUGUUUGUCACAAGGCUUAGUUUCAUUUCACUGUUUUGUUUUAAGUUAUUGUAUUUGUUUUGCUUGGUAGACCUCUGUGAUUGUGUAUGUUUCGCUAGUUUCAUCUAGAAACAAAUGUUUACUUUUUCACUUGUGACAAAUUUGGACAGGUAUAGUGGAUUAGAGAAAUAGAAAUCCUGGUUAUUGUUUACUAAAGUAACUGUGUUCAAAUGCAAAUUUAUACAGAAUGUAGCACCUUGGGCUUUUUUUACAGAAAUUACUUGCUAAUUUCUCUUAUUCCCAAACUGUGGAGGUCUUUUAGUUAAGAGUCAAUGAUAAGAACAAAAUCCAUAAUUAGGACGUUUUCUCAGCAUGAAAGAACUGUCUUCCUGAAAUCAGGAAAAAUACUUUGGUGUGUACAGCAUCCAUGGAGUUGAAGAUGACACUCAUGCUUAUUUUUGAGUCUCUGUAUAGAAAGUUGUAGAGUUAGGCUACUGUAGCAGAAGGAAAAAUACAACUGACUGAUUACAAAACUGUGAAACUUGAGAAAUACAGGGUUAUGUCUUAUGCACAUAGGAAGCCUCACUGGUUUGUGGAUAGAAAUAUGAAUUCUAAUCUUUGUGUGUUAUCAUUUCAAUAAGUUUUCUAAUUAGUGAAGAGUGGAACUGUGAAAGUGUCAUAUUCAGCACCAGGGUUUAAUGAAGUGUUCAGAUUAAAGACACUGCUCACUUAGGUUCCAAACCUAGGUUUUCCCUCUGCUACCUUUGAUAUGUAUCGCAAGCACAUGAGCUACUAAUAGAGCUUCAGUAUUAUGUUGUUGUGAGUUUACUUUUAUGGUAAAAUGCAUUUUAAAAGGACUGUAAUGCUAAAUGUCAGAUUGGGAGAUUUUUGUGAUGGAAUAACAGAGUUGGACAAACAACGUCCAAAGCUUUGUCAUUUAAGUGUUCUGGAUAUCUUCUUUUAAAAAUAAAACAGUCAUGGAGAAAGAAGAAAUGUGGGGUAGAUAAAUGAAAAAGAGGAGAGAUCUCCACAUUUACAGUAAAGGCUGGACUCUGUGCAUGCUUUGUGUGUACUGUUGUGCACCAGUGCUUCCUUAGUAAAGUGCAGGUACAGAAUUACUCUGGUCGCCCCUUGCAAGCCUUUCAUGUUUGGGAUAUCUCUAACAGAACAGUUGUUAAUCAGUUACCAGUGGUGCCAGGCUGCUGGACCUGGUGUACCAAGUACAGAAUUUUGUAAUAUUGGAGUUGGCGAGAAAAGAGGAGAAAUUGUGUGCUCUGGCCAAGGUUGAAUCAAUAUUAGGUCAUCCUUCACUGGUGGUGGCACUGGUAACAGUUAUAUAAUCUGUGACCUUUCUUGUUUUGUCAGUGACUAAAGCAGACCCUUGACUGGAACCAUCCAGAGAGUUCUGAAUGAUGUUGCCAUCUCCACUGGCUCAAUGGAAAAAAACAUGCUCUGGUUCUCUCUGGUUGUUCCUAUUUUGUGCUUUUUUCCUCUCCAUCCCCAUUAUCUUCUUAUUUGCUUCUCUUUUUGUUUUCUCUCCAGUAAGCAUUUAAUGUAGCUGGCCAAAACUCAAGGUUUUGUUACAUGUUUGGUUUUUUCAGAAUAUUAGUAAUAAAAAUUUGUCAGAUUUUGGAUUGGCUAAUAACUCUUCAUUCAGGUUGUCUGCUUUUGAGGCAGGUCUGUGAGAAAGUCCUCACCAGACAUAAACAUCAUUUUCUGUCUUUGCUCCUCAUUUUGUGUUGUUUCUUCCUUGUUUAGGAAAAAACUUUCAGGCUAACUUUUUUUCAGGCCAGUUUUAUUGUGUUCAGUAUUGCUUUCAAUGUGGUACAGCCUUUCCCUUUCAUAAAGGGAGUAAGGAGUUUAGGCAAAUUUCUCUUCAGAUACAUUGUUCUUCCUUUCUUCCUCUGUGUAAAGAUUAAAACAUAUUCAAUGAUAGCUGCGGCCAUAACCUACACAUUAAAGCAGACAAAUGUUUCUGAGUGUGUGACUCAGACCUUGAUGCCCAGGUAACCCUGUAGUGAGGAAGAUUGCAGCCUUGCCUUUGUGUCUGAGACUCCUUCCUUGGUUGGAAUGGCUCUGAGCGUGGACAUUGUGUCUGAAUGUAUCACUUGGAAGCAAGCUUUCUUCUGAGAUGGUGAGGCCCUUAUCUACAUGACAACUGCAACCAAAGAGGUUGCCUGGGCAGAUCUGAAGUUCAGUGAUAUGCAUGUUUUGUAAAAAUUAUCUUUGAGAAAUGUGACAAAAUACCUAGGGUGUCACUAUAUGUUGGUCAGACUGUUUUAGAAAUGUAUAGGCUGUCUGUUUCCCAACUGAAGUCAUUUGCCUCUUUCUUAUUUUAUGAGGUACCUUCUCAUGACUUUCCUCUAACUGUUCAUUAAUAGCAUGCAAGUUGCAAGGUUCUUGGUGAUGGUGGCUCUGUUCAUGCUUUGGAAUUAGUGGGAAACUUUCUUAUAGAGGUGCUUGCAGGAGGAGGAGGACUGACACUAGGUUUCCUAGGAGUUAUCAUCAAGUUCCCCUAAUUGUCUAAAUUGAAGUUGCUUGGUUUUUUGUUUGUGAUCUGACUUCUGUCCAGAAUUGCACCUUAUUGGGCACUUAUCUUCAAAACAUAGAUUAAAGGCAGUACCUUCUCCUGGGAGCCUUAGUUAGAGAAACACUGUGCUUCCAUUAAAGCACUCCGGAUUCAGAGUAACAUUGAUUUUCAUCUUUCUCACCUCUAAGACUGUCCUAACAUUGAGUUUAUCCAUAGAAACUAGGAGAUCUCCUCCCUGUUUGCCAUUGGUAGCUGUUCUUUUUGACUUUAUAUGGCUAGGAUGAUGAGCUUAAUCUCGUGAACAUGAUCAGUGAAAUCACCUCAUUUCAUUUUUGUAGUCUAACUGUGCUUUACCUUUUAAACUUAGAGGAAGAAAGUCCUUGCUUCCCCCCCACCAUUUUUUAGUGUAUGGCAUGGAACAAAAAUAGGUGGCUGAAAUCUCUGUGAUACAGUGGACUCUUGUACUUGAAAUGUAACUUGCUUGCUGUAGUAUUCUUUCUUUUGAAUGGGAAGUAGAAACACUGAAAGUAAAAGCACCUAAAGGAAGAGCUGAAGUCAUACAUGUAUAGUUGGGAAAUGAUACUUACUUGCAUAAGAAAUGGGCAUUAAUUUGGAGAAUUAUGUGUUUUUAUAUAUCGGGGUAAGAAGUCUUGUGUACUCAGUGUUUCUUGAUUUGGAGUUUACUUAUCCAAAUACAGUUGAAAGACUUCCAUCUUCACCCACGCUCCAUGUCUGUGCUUCAUAUUUAGCAGCACAGAGCAUACCCAUUACAGCAUGUUUUCGUUUGCUUUUCUACGUUUAUAUUUGUCGCCUUUUCCAGUCGUGCAGGAAAACUUUCCGUGUUAUUUACCUUAAAAAUUACUGAUUGUGAAUUUCACGAGGACCAGCUUAGUUCUGGGAUAACCUUUAGUUGGUCUGCUGGCUUUGUUAAUUGGACAGUAACAGAGUAUGUGAUCAUCAGGCCGUGUUUUGGAGAGUCUAGCAUACAAAAUUCUGAUAUACACACAGAAUUCCACCUUCAUUGUUGAUUUAGCCAUAGCUGUCUGGAAUUUUUUGUAGGUAAGCAAGAGUAGAUUCUGUUGUCUGCAAUUUGUGAGAUUCUUAUGCAACAAGCGGGCAUGGUAACUAAAAAUGAGAAUAAAUUUUAGUUCUUGUUAGAUAUUUAUAAUGUCUUGAAGUGUGAAUUAAGGAAAAGAAAUCAUUUACAUUCUGUUCAUAUAUGUAGAUGCACUAUGCAACUCUCCCCCUCUUGCACAGACAUGGCCUUAUAAUUUGUAGUGUUGUGUAUGACAGAAUUCUUGAAAGUUUAACAGAAUGCCUGGAAAAGGUCUCCUUGAAGAACUGGAGGGUAAUAACCAUAAGGGAAAAGAGCAGGUAGCAGCCUUUCUCCUGUGGGGUGUUUUUAAUUAAUAAAAAAAGAACAUAGCCUUUGGCUGUUUUAUCACAAAACAAAUGAAAAAAUAAUUUAAAAUUUAAAAAGAACAGUAAUUGCAUAAAAAGUGCUUGGGAAAAAUAGAUCUAAUUAGGCAGUUAUUUUAGAAAAUUUCAUUUUGCAAGUAAGAGACUUGUAUGUGAUGUUUUGUUUACUUGUUUUGUUUCAAACUAAUUUACUGAGGCCUAUUUUAUGCCUAACUUGUCAAGUGGAAAAAAAUUAGCAUAAACCUUUAAGAAUAAUCUUCUGUAUAAAUUUUGCAAUAUGCUGCAAAACAGGGCUCUAUCCUACAGUUACAAUGCGGGUGAAUGAUGUAAGGAAUGAAAUGCAUUGUCUGUUCCCUAUGCUAUGAAAUGAGCAACAAGACUUCCACUGUCUGAUUUGAAUGGUUGGGGAAUAGCUAUGUAUAGCAAAACCUAUUUUUGAGCAGUAAAAUGUUUUUUGAUAUAUACCAUGACCUGCAAGAACUGAUUCAACAUUAAUUUAGCUUUAUAUAUAUUAGGUAGAACAGUAAUCUUAAUAAUUACAUACGGAUUCUGACAUUUCAUUGUGUAUUCAGCAUACAGAUUGUAUUAAGUAGAUCUAUAAAAUAAGUAAAUAUAUUAAGAAUUGCAUAUGCACUUACAAUCACAAGUAUAGAAAUACAUAUUUUUAUUUCUUCCUUUUCUAAUUCAAUUAUAUCACUUACUCAAGUGAAGAACGUGAAGAAGCAGAAUACACUUGGGAUUUGAACUAUAAAAUUUUUGUGUGCUUUUAGUACUUACUAUGUGGUUAUGAAAUUGUUAGUUUUCUUCAUUGUCCUGUAUAUUAUAGGGAAUUAAUGUGGAAUAUUUUUCCUUAAAAAAAAAAUCUUUUAUGCAUGUAUUUUGUUGGUUUUUCUGGCUAUUGUAUGUGACUUUUGAGAUCUAAAAGUGGGAAGUAGGAAUUAAAGUAUAUGUUAAAUUAUAUGGUGUAGUUUUAUUUGGGUUUGUGAUUUUUGUGGGGUUUUUUCCAUGUAUUAUAGUUUGGAAUGUUUGGGAGGUGGGAUUACAGGUGCUUUUCUUUUUUUUAAGAUGUAUGCUGGAAGGGAUUUAAAUGCAUACUGAAAUCUAGGAAGUAAGUUGUUUAUUCAGAAUCAUUUUAUGGGAAGUUGUAUGGAUGAAAAAUAAAACACAUUCUUUGGGAAUUAAAAUGAAUUGCAGUAUAGUGUCUUGCAGAUCUGACUCAGAAUGGAAAGGCUUCUAGAACCUCUACAAAUGAUGCUUGUCCUUAAAAAAAAAAGAAAUUCCCUUUAUUCUUGUCAAGCUGCUUUUGGUGCCAUGAGAUGGGCCACUUAGGAAGGAAUUGAUAGCAAGACCUGAGGUGAAGUCUGUAAAGUCUUAAUCCAGUAAUUCUAGAAGAAACAUUGAAUAUGGUACUAGUUAGAAAUUCUGCAAACCAACACACUUCUACACUGCUGUUUCUUACCCCUUCUUAAACAAGUUCUCAUGGGAUCAGGAAGACAAAUCAGACUGCCAAAGAGAUGUUGUUGAGUAGGUAUGUAUCCUUCUACCAGGUACUCACAAAUCCUGUCCUGGGAAAGUGUCAGUGGCAGUAAGUUUCUGGAAGAAGAUUUCCAGGUGUUCAAGCAGAUAUGACACAGUUUCCUACUGACAUGACUCUUUCAUAUGAUAUAGAGUGGUGGCAUAGCAGUGUAAAUGGUGAGAAACCAAAGGCUUACUAUGGAUUCCCUGUUAGAAACCUCACCUUGGAAAAAAACUGGGAGAAAGCAGCAAGAUGCCUAAAGAAUGUGCUCUGUUCCACAGUAGGAAGGAAUUAGUUUGCUGCUGCCGGAACAGACUGAAUCAACUUGGCAAGGGACCUCAGGAGUGCCAGCUUGAGGGAGGAGCUGGAUUGUACAGUCUGUAUACCAAGUACUUAAAACAUCUGCAUGCAAGAUCAUCAUGUAAUUUUGUGUCUGCCCUGCAUAUCUUCUUGCUGAUGUGAACCGAGUCAUUACCUUUUUCCUGAGUGGGCUGUUAUCCAUGUGAUUGAUGGAGGUAACUGGACCAGCCAGUCAAAGGCAUCAGCUGUUUAGCUUGUGUUUCCUAUGGAAGAGGCUUUUGCAAGUGGGAACUGUUACCUUAUUUUUGAGCUCUUUGGUUAUUUUCAAUCAAGUUUGAUAGAGGAAUAGCAGUAUUGAAAAUUGUAUCCAGAAGGAAAGGUAGAAGGAAUAUCCAGCAAGGAAAGGACUUCUGUGCAAGUUCAUCCCUUCGCAGACAAAUGGCACUUCAUUUAUUCCAUCACCCAUGGAAAUUCAGUUUACUGAAUGAACUGUACUGAAUGUACAAACACAGAGGAUUCAAAUAUGUAUUUGCCUUCUUUUUGUUGGGACAUCAUUUAAACCAUAUUGGGACAUCAUUUAAACAAUAUAAAUAUUUUUCAUAAUUUACUAGUGGACAGUGACUAGUACAAAAUGUUUCAAACAUACUUCCAGUUCACAUCCAGAAAAAGACAUUCUUCUGUAGUACAGUAAAUUAGUGGAGGAUGUAAGUGUGUGCAUUCAAUGUGUUAUAAAGUUUUUUGCUCUGCUUUUUCAUAGUAAUGGCUUGCCUGUUUCAGUCCUGCUAAGCUCUUGAUUGCUGUGACACAUUCUGUUAAUCAUUAUUUUAGAAUAGGAUGUUCAGUUGCUGGACUGUGCUGUCAAAAGAUAUAUGACCGAAACUGAAUGCAUCUCAUCAGCUUGCAAUGUAAAAUGAGAAAGAACAAUGGGUUGUAAAUGAGAAGACAUUGCACCAUGAAGGAAGAGGCAAGGAGGUCUCUGCACAAGUGGUGAAAAUUAAAUUUAAAAAAGAAAGGUUCCUAUUAAAAAUUUCAUUGGGUACUCGAGCACAAGACAGCUGAAAGUAAGCAGCUGAACAGUUUUUUUCCUCCAAAACUAAAUAUUGGGUUUGAUCUAUGAUUGGGCAGUAAAGGAUUAUAAACCAUGCUGUGAGAUUGGAUAUUCUUUUUGUUUUUAUGAUUUUACGGAAACUUAAUGAGCAAAUCCAGGCAUAUACUCCAUGUGUUCUAGCUCUCGUUUCUCCUUGCACAAUUUGUUAUGCGUGUUUUUUCUUGAAGUUGCCAAAAUACAAAUCUGCUGACACUUUUUUGCUCCCAACAUGUUGCAUUUUAAAACUUUAAAUAAUGACUCAAGAUUUGUAUGAAUUUCUUAAUAUACUGUUCUUGUUUCUAUGAAAAACUUUUUUUCUGUGGAAAACAGCUUAUUUUUGUAAAUAACACUCAGCUGUUAUUUUCCAUGUAAUGUCCAUGCUCAAGGUAAAGACUGAGUGGCAGCUGGCAGAUGUCAAUGAGCUGCUUAAUGUGCUAUUCACAAUGUCAUAUUCUCUGUAAACGAUAUUCUAAAAAACCUUUCUGAGUUCUAAAAAGAGUUAUAGAAGUUGAUAACAUUAAAUGAGUGAUGAGGUUUUCUACUUUAUUCAAGUUAUACCAGCAUCAGCCUAAACAAUAAUGUCCCGUUUCACUCACAUCAUCUCCCUCACCCACUGCAAUUACUCUUGGGGGAAACAUGCAGAAAAAGUAGUUGUAAAAAGAAAUUGGGUUAUUCCCAUGCAGUCUGAGUUAAGAUCGUAUUGGUGCAGAAUGCAAAGAUCAAAAUUCUAGAUGCUUAAGUGAGUGCUUCUAGGAAGAAGCAGUUCGAUAAACUGUAGGUGGAUAAAUAAUAUUUUACUUGGGGUCUGCUAAUUACAGAAGGUGUACUCUGUAAUUUUUAGUCAAGUUCAGCUUGCUUAAGAGGGGAAAAAAACCAAAAAGUCUGACUGAGCAUAUAUAAAUUGAGGCAGUUAGCUAAAGGGAAGUCACAAAGAGCAGCUGAAUGGUUUGUGAUGCUGUGCAAUCUGUUUAAAGUCAUUGUAUGAGACUCAGAACUGGAAUGUGGGCUGCAAAAGAAAAGGCUUCAAUUGGCUGACCUCUCACUUCUUCAAAUGGUGCAAUGUAUUAGUGUUGGUUUUAUCUAGAUCAGAAGGCCAUUUCUGUGCCUUGCCUCUCCCAUGUAGCCUGUGUACCUGCAUUCUGCUCUGUGGAAGCCAAGCUGUGAGGGUGUGGAGCGCUCCUGCUUCCCCAGAACAGAACUGGCAAGCAGCCAUCAGCAGUACGGACUGCAGAGCACUCCUCUGUUUGCCAGGCUUUGAUACAGUACCAGCACAACUAAAUUAAAGGUGACACCUUCAAACUUCAGGAAAAAGGAAGUUGUUCACAAUAAAAGGAUGUAAUGCAGAGUGGGAAAAGAGAUCAGAGAGGCUGUCAAGUUAAAUGCAAAAGUAAGAAGGCAAGCCCAAAAAAGACUGUUGAGAAUGAACUUGCCAAAGGCAUUAUACCUAAUAGUAACUAAUGUUCAUGAUAUUAGGGAGCUGAAAGUUUAUCAGUGUUGGUGGGGUCAGUAGCUGAUCAAAAUAUUAAAGUAACAGUUGAAAAAAAUAAAACUGUCAUGUAAAAGUUAAGUAUGUUUGGGCGUUUGGUUUGGGGUUUUUUUUUCAACAUAUUUCACCUUGAAGGUUUUUAGCAAGAGUUACUGAUACUGAAGUAACAGAACUCUGAAAGGAAGAGUUUGAUUGCUUUUUUUAAGGGACUAUUUAUGGUAAUUAUAGCAAGUUUAGGCCAAGAAGUCUGGAUUCUGCAUUGAUCACACUUCAGAAGCAACAGAAGAAACUAGUAUGCUUUUAGCAUAUCUGCUAGUGUACUGGGGAAGGGUUGAUACAGCUUUUCCUGAGGUUACUUCACUCAGUCUGCCGGAGGGUUUUUUAAAUAUCUCAUGGUGCCUUCAAUAUGAAGCAUAUGAUAUAAAUAUGCAUUUUCAGAAUGCUUCA